UACGGAGGGUGCGAGCGUUGUCCGGAAUCACUGGGCGUAAAGGGUGCGUAGGCGGGGCUUUAAGUCAGGGGUGAAAUCCUGGAGCUCAACUCCAGAACUGCCUUUGAUACUGAGGAUCUUGAGUUCGGGAGAGGUGAGUGGAACUGCGAGUGUAGAGGUGAAAUUCGUAGAUAUUCGCAAGAACACCAGUGGCGAAGGCGGCUCACUGGCCCGAUACUGACGCUGAUGCACGAAAGCGUGGGGAGCAAACAGG
rnacentral:rRNA from 1 species